UACGUAGGGGGCCAGCGUUGUCCGGAUUUACUGGGCGUAAAGAGCGCGUAGGCGGUUUAGUAAGCGGAGGGUGAAAUCCCGGGGCUCAACUCCGGGGCUGCUCUCCGAACUGCUAGACUAGAGUACGGGAGAGGAUAGUGGAAUUCCUGGUGUAGCGGUGGAAUGCGUAAAUAUCAGGAGGAACACCCGUGGCGAAGGCUGCUAUCUGGAACGUUACUGACGCUGAGGCGCGAAAGCUAGGGGAGCGAAC
rnacentral:rRNA from 1 species